rnacentral:misc_RNA from 1 species
CUGGAGAUGGUGACCCUGCUGCUCCUAAUAAAAGCAACAACUUCAAAAUGGGAAAAUUUCCACCUUGUCAACAUUGUGGUGGCAAAUCCCAUUCACAUCUCAAAUGUUGGAGGAGACCAGAUGCUAAAUGUGUCAAGUGCAACCAAAUGGGGCAUGAGGCUGUAAUAUGCAAAGCAAAAACUCCCCAACAAGCAGCAGAGGCACAAAAUGCCGAGCAAGAGGAAGAGGACCAGCUCUUUGUUGCAACUUGUUUUUCCAGCAGCAACUCAAGUGAAUCUUGG